rnacentral:rRNA from 1 species
GUGUAUACAUACCUUUGUUGCUUUGGCAGGCCGCCUUCGGGCGCUGGCUUCGGCUGAUUGUGCCUGCCAGAGGACCCCCCAACCCGUUUAUUUAGUGAUGUCUGAGUACUAUAUAAUAGUUAAAACUUUCAACAACGGAUCUCUUGGUUCUGGCAUCGAUGAAGAACGCAGCGAAAUGCGAUAAGUAAUGUGAAUUGCAGAAUUCAGUGAAUCAUCGAAUCUUUGAACGCACAUUGCGCCCCUUGGUAUUCCGAGGGGCAUGCCUGUUCGAGCGUCAUUAUAACCACUCAAGCCUAGCUUGGUAUUGGGGUUCGCGGGUCCGCGGCUCUUAAAAUCAGUGGCGGUGCUGUCUGGCUCUAAGCGUAGUAAUUCUCUCGCUACAGGGUCCAGGUAGUUGCUUGCCAAAACCCUCUUAUUUUCUUAGGUUGACCUCGGAUCAGGUAGGGAUACCCGCUGAACUUAAGCAUAUCAAUAAGCGGAGGAA